GUCUUCCAGAUUAAAAAAUUGGAAGUCCAGCCUGCCCAGUGAGUAUUUUAACGGCCGCGGUAACCUGACCGUGCUAAGGUAGCGCAAUCAAUUGCCCUUUAAUUGUGGGCUAGUAUGAAUGGCUAGACAAGAGCUUGGCUGUCUCAAAGGGGCUUAUGAAAAUUAACCUUUAGGUGCAGAGGCCUAAAUUUUAGUGAAAGACAAGAAGACCCUAUCGAGCUUUAAUUUUUUCUAUUAUUAUAAUAGUAUAAAUUUUUAUUGGGGCAAUAAAGGAGCAAUUUAAGCCUCCUUAAAUCUAAAGUUAAACUAAUUUAUAAAAGAAACAUUUAAUAAUGCUCUUAGGAAAAAGCUACCGUAGGGAUAACAGACUAAUUUCCCUCAAGAGUCCACAUUGACAGGGAAGUUUGGCACCUCGAUGUUGGCUUAAAAAAACAGUUAUGAAGCAGCAUUCUAACUUUGUAGGUUUGUUCAACCUUUAAUAUUUUA
rnacentral:rRNA from 1 species